rnacentral:rRNA from 1 species
GAAGUAAAAGUCGUAACAAGGUUUCCGUAGGUGAACCUGCGGAAGGAUCAUUAAUGAAUUCACUAUGGAGUUGUUGCUGGCCUCUAGGGGCAUGUGCACGCUUCACUAGUCUUUCAACCACCUGUGAACUUUUGAUAGAUCUGUGAAGUCGUCCUUCAAGUCGUCAGACUUGGUUUGCUGGGAUUUAAACGUCUCGGUGUGACAACGCAGUCUAUUUACUUAACACACCCCAAAUGUAUGUCUACGAAUGUCAUUUAAUGGGCCUUGUGCCUAUAAACCAUAAUACAACUUUCAACAACGGAUCUCUUGGCUCUCGCAUCGAUGAAGAACGCAGCGAAAUGCGAUAAGUAAUGUGAAUUGCAGAAUUCAGUGAAUCAUCGAAUCUUUGAACGCACCUUGCGCCCCUUGGUAUUCCGAGGGGCAUGCCUGUUUGAGUGUCAUUAAAUUCUCAAACUCACAUUUAUUUGUGAUGUUUGGAUUGUUGGGGGUUGCUGGCUGUAACAAGUCGGCUCCUCUUAAAUGCAUUAGCAGGACUUCUCAUUGCCUCUGCGCAUGAUGUGAUAAUUAUCACUCAUCAAUAGCACGCAUGAAUAGAGUCCAGCUCUCUAAUCGUCCGCAAGGACAAUUUGACAAUUUGACCUCAAAUCAGGUAGGACUACCCGCUGAACUUAAGCAUAU